GAUGGGUGAGGGUUUGGUGCAUGUUUUAUUUUAAUCAUGACUAGAUCCACACUCAUCCAA
rnacentral:pre_miRNA from 1 species